rnacentral:lncRNA from 1 species
GAGAAACAUUGGUGCUUCAAUUAAAAAUCUGGAAGUGCAAAUGAUUUAGAUUGCUCAACAACUUGCGGGUUCGCAAACACCAGGUGCAUUACCGAGUGCUACAGUUACAAAUCCACGAGAGCAUAAUAAUGUGAGUGCGGUAACCACAAGGAGUGGUAAGGCAAAAUAAGUCCCUGAAAAAGAUGAUGACCAACAAGACCAAUUGCUUGAAGUUGAUUUGGAGAUAAAAGAAAAUGAGGUUGUU